rnacentral:rRNA from 1 species
UGGGGGAUAUUGCACAAUGGGCGAAAGCCUGAUGCAGCGACGCCGCGUGGGGGAUGAAGGCUUUCGGGUUGUAAACCUCUUUCGCUAUCGAACAAGGCCCGCUUAGGGUGGGUUGAGGGUAGGUGGAGAAGAAGCGCCGGCUAACUACGUGCCAGCAGCCGCGGUAAUACGUAGGGCGCGAGCGUUGUCCGGAAUUAUUGGGCGUAAAGGGCUUGUAGGCGGCUUGUUGCGCCUGCUGUGAAAACGCGGGGCUUAACUUCGCGCGUGCAGUGGGUACGGGCAGGCUUGAGUGUGGUAGGGGUGACUGGAAUUCCAGGUGUAGCGGUGGAAUGCGCAGAUAUCUGGAGGAACACCGAUGGCGAAGGCAGGUCACUGGGCCAUUACUGACGCUGAGGAGCGAAAGCAUGGGUAUCGAACAGG